CUUUUAUUGGUCCAUUUGAAAGGCCUGUGGGCACGCGCCGCCCGCAGCCUUAAAGGGGCCGCGCGCAGCCGUGUUUCCCUCUGGAACAGACGCCGCCUGCACGGGCGGGGACGCUGGUCGCUGCUGGGGGCAAAUCUGCCGACUCCAGAAAGAAGGGCGAAAGAUAGAUUGUGAAGCUAAGUGCUGUGAGGGAAACCAGAGGCAGCUGAGACGUGGGAGUAACAGCGAAUGAAGCCAGGACGCUGGAUUCUGACCUUGGACCUGUUCUGAAACAGUGGGGUACUCAGGGCUUACCUGGAGCAGCAGGAACAGCCUCAUUGGAACGUGCACACAGGCCCAGCCUGGCAUCCCUUUCAGAGCAUCUGUGGGGCACAGAAAACUGAAUGUGAAGCCUACUCAUACUCAGUGAAGGUCACGCCUUCCCCCAGGAAAGGGGGAAAGGCCUGUAAGUGGGGGCUUUCAGGUAUGAGAAUGUACGAGAUGGAAGAUAUCAGAGGCAUGGAGAGGGCAACAGCAGGAAAUGGAGAGAAAUCCACGCAAGGCACUGUUUUCAAGCCGUUAUACCAUGUUUAAAUGUGUUAUAAAAUAUGUACCUUUAAAAAUGAGAAGCAGGUUUGGGAGUGAGUUGGAAGUCUGCAGAAAGAAUACUAAGGACAUCAAUAUUAGGCUUUCUUAAACUACCAGCAUGAGUCAGAAGCGGCUGCUAGCCAAGCCAAUCUGAUUGGAUAAAAAUUAUCACAAGAGCUAAAUAUCCCAAGGUCAAAAAAUGUUUUUCUUCUCUUCAUUCUUUCACAAAGGAAUAUGAAAGACAUCCAGAGGGAGUGCUCAGAUAACUAACUUGAAAUGCUCAGAAGGUGACUUCUUUGUGGUAUAUUAUGAGCAGGCAAUCAAAGGCAUCUCCUAAACAGCCAGAGGAAGGCUACUUGCAAGAGCAUUUGGAACCAAGAUGCACUGAAUAUUCAAAUAGAACUCUGACAAUAAGAAAAGGUCCGAGCAGGGUCAAAAGUUUUCUAAAUAAACCUAAAGAAAAUCAGAGAGUAAUAGUGACUGAUAGUACUUAAAAGUCAGUGAGAAGGGCACAUGUUUAUACCUGGGUGUUUCCUUUUCUUUACAAACUGUAGUAAAAACAGAGAAUGGGGGCACACAGCAUAUGAAACUGAUCAUGUGCAAAUCUUGUAACUUUAGGGACAUUGAGUCUAUAGUUUUUAUUUGGGAUCAUUAUUAUGUUUCUGCUUUCAGAAUUGAAAUCAAGUGUUAACUACCUUGUAAGCUACUGACGAUAUUAAAAAUAAAGAGACCAGUAUGUUGCAGUGGAAAAAAAAAAACUGUUCAAUUAGAAAAAUGUCUAGAAAAGAUAGACAUCAAAACAUUAAGAGCACAUUAUAUAUAGGUAUAGGAUAUUCCCUUCUUCUUUAUUCACAUCUGUAUUUCCAGAUUAUUUAUUUAUUUUUGGUUUUUUGGUUUUUCUGAGACAGGGUCUCAGUCUGUCACCCAGGCUGGUGUGCAGUGGCACAAUCACAGCUCACUGCAGCCUAAACCUGGGCUCAAGCGAUCCUCCCAACCUCAGCCUCCCAAGUAGCUGGGACUACAGGCAUGGGCCACCAUGCCUGGCUAAUUAAAAAAAAAUCUUUUUUGUGGAGACAGGAUCUCACUAUGUUGCCCAGGCUUGUCUUGAAUUCCUGGACUCAUGUGAUCUGCCCACCUUGGCCUCCCAAAGUGCUGGGAUUACAGGCAUGAGCCACUGCCCCUGGCCCAGAUUAUUUUUUAUAAAAUAUAAACAGAAAACACAGUCAUUAGAAUUUUUUGCCAGGUGCAGUGUCUCACAUCUGUAAUGCCAGCACUUUGGGAUGCCUAAGCAGGUGGAUCGCUUGAGCCCAGAAGUUUAAAACCAGCCUGGGCAACAUGGUGAAGCUCCAUCUCUACAAAAAGUACAAAAAAUUAGCCAGGCAUAGUGGUACACAUUUAUAGUCCUGGCUACCUGGGAGGCUGAAGUAGGAGGAUCACAUGAAACCAGGAGGUCGAGGCUGCAGUGGGCUUGAGCUGUGUUCAUGCUACUGCACUCUAGCCUGGGUGACAGAGUGAGACCCUGUCUCAAGAAAAAAAGAAAAGAAUGUCUCUGAAUUGAAUGUAACAUCAUAUUUAAUCAAUUUUAAGAUGUUUGUUUUUUCUAUGGCCUACCAUCUCUUAAACAGGCAUGUGACUUACAAUCAAUAGCAUUUCACAUUUGCUGUUGGUUAUCUUUUCAGUUUAAUUUCUCAAAUCAGGAUGCAUUUUAUAGUGAAUAGCACCUUUAAUUUAAUGAAAUAAGAUACUUUAUACUUGAUUUGAGAA